rnacentral:rRNA from 1 species
CCUACGGGAGGCAGCAGUAGGGAAUCUUCCACAAUGGGCGAAAGCCUGAUGGAGCAACGCCGCGUGGGUGAAGAAGGUCUUCGGAUCGUAAAACCCUGUUGUUAGAGAAGAAAGUGCGUGAGAGUAACUGUUCACGUUUCGACGGGAUCUAACCAGAAAGCCACGGCUAACUACGUGCCAGCAGCCGCGGUAAUACGUAGGUGGCAAGCGUUAUCCGGAUUUAUUGGGCGUAAAGGGAACGCAGGCGGUCUUUUAAGUCUGAUGGGAAAGCCUUCGGCUUAACCGGAGUAGUGCAUUGGAAACUGGGAGACUUGAGUGCAGAAGAGGAGAGUGGAACUCCAUGUGUAGCGGUGAAAUGCGUAGAUAUAUGGAAGAACACCAGUGGCGAAAGCGGCUCUCUGGUCUGUAACUGACGCUGAGGUUCGAAAGCGUGGGUAGCAAACAGGAUUAGAUACCCGGGUAGUC